UACAGAGGUCUCAAGCGUUGUUCGGAUUUACUGGGCGUAAAGGGUGCGUAGGCGGCGGAGUAAGUCGAGUGUGAAAUUUCGGGGCUCAACCCCGAAACUGCACUCGAUACUGCUUUGCUAGAGGAUUGUAGAGGAGAGUGGAAUUCACGGUGUAGCAGUGAAAUGCGUAGAUAUCGUGAGGAAGACCAGUGGCGAAGGCGACUCUCUGGGCAAUUCCUGACGCUGAGGCACGAAGGCCAGGGGAGCAAACGGG
rnacentral:rRNA from 1 species